UACGAAGGAUCCAAGCGUCAUCCGGAUUUAUUGGGUUUAAAGGGUGCGUAGGCGGGCUAUUAAGUCAGUGGUGAAAGCCCCAAGCUUAACUUGGGAAUUGCCAUUGAUACUGAUGGUCUUGAGUACACUUGAAGUGGGCGGAAUGUGUCAUGUAGCGGUGAAAUGCUUAGAUAUGACACAGAACACCGAUUGCGAAGGCAGCUCACUAAAUUGUAACUGACGCUGAGGCACGAAAGCGUGGGGAUCAAACAGG
rnacentral:rRNA from 1 species